GUUGGUGUAGUGUACUCAGGUGAAUAUGAUAUUUGUGGUGUUACUCUGCGUGUAUAUCCACACCGGGCGAGCUUGAAAAAUAUGCCCGGCCACGGUGGGAUUCGAACCUACGACCUUUGGAAUACUGGCCCAAUGCUCUUCCAACUGAGCUACGCGGUCAGGACGGUUCGAGUAAGUGAUAUUUCGGAACAGUAUCUAGUUCCUUCAAUACCAAUGUAUUCUUGUAAUAUGAUUUUUUUCUGUGUUGGUGUUGUGUACUCAGGUGAAUAAUAUGUUUGUGAUGUUACUCUGAGUGCAUAUCCACACCGGGCGAGCUUGAAAAAUAUGCCCGGCCACGGUGGGAUUCGAACCUACGACCUUUGGAAUACUAGCCCAAUGCUCUUCCAACUGAGCUAGGCGGUCAGGACGGUUCGAGUAAGUGAUAUUUCGGAACAGAAUCUAGUUCCUUCGAUACCAAUGUUUUCUAGUAAUAUGAAUUUUUUUUUCUGUGUUGGUGUAGUGUACUCAGGUGAAUAUGAUAUUUGUGGUGUUACUCUGAGUGCAUAUCCACACCGGGCGAGCUUGAAAAAUAUGCCCGGCCACGGUGGGAUUCGAACCUACGACCUUUGGAAUACUAGCCCAAUGCUCUUCCAACUGAGCUA